rnacentral:rRNA from 1 species
AUACGGAGGAUCCGAGCGUUAUCCGGAUUUAUUGGGUUUAAAGGGAGCGUAGGUGGGAUAUUAAGUCAGCUGUGAAAGUUUGGGGCUCAACCUUAAAAUUGCAGUUGAUACUGGUUUCCUUGAGUACGGUACAGGUGGGCGGAAUUCGUGGUGUAGCGGUGAAGUGCUUAGAUAUCAUGAAGAACUCCGAUCGCGAAGGCAGCUGACCGGGCCGGAACUGACACUGAUGCUCGAAAGUGCGGGUAUCAAACAGGAUUAGAUACCCUGGUAGUCCGCACAGUAAACGAUGAAUACUCGCUGUGUGCGAUACACGGUAAGCGGCCAAGCGAAAGCGUUAAGUAUUCCACCUGGGGAGUACGCCGGCAACGGUGAAACUCAAAUGAAUUGACGGGG